AUAUAUAUGUAUGUAUGUAUGUAUGCACACACACACACAUAUAUAUAAGUACAAUUAAAUGUUACAAACCUCAUUCAGGGAUAGCAAAUUCAUAUGAAAGUACUG